AUGCUCUCGAUGAGACAGAAUCUACCUCAUUCACAAAAAUCGUGAUUUAUCGUACAGUUUACUUUUGUAAAUUGAGUUUUGUGGCACAAAGUCGGCGUACCUUACCUACUCAGCCCGAACAGUUUAAUACUUGACGUAGAAACUUGAUCUUCAAAUUACUCGAGAAUUCAAUUCCAUUUUCCAGCUUAUAGCUUCGUCAUGAUGAACUUCAAAUUAUUAAUAUUUUCCAUCGGAGUCGUGUUACUUUUGGCUGUUUCUCAAGUGGCUAAGGCGCAUGUGGAUUUUUCGGACGAGGUAUUUCAAACAAAAUCCAAAUGUGUGGAAUUUUGUGUACCCUAUUGCGAGUCGUAUAGACAAAUACCCCUUCAUCAUUGCUUCCGACAACAAUUCGGUGGAUAUAAAUGCGCUUGUAAGUCGCCGGGGACGUCAUUGAGAAGAGGUAGUUCGUCAUUUGAUGUGGUAGAUUAAUAGUAAUGAAAUACAUAAAAUAAUGCCAAAGUAGGUAUGGUUAAUUUGAUCUGAGUGAUUUUUCUAUUUUUUUAAUGUCAUGAUUUGAAAAUUAAUAAGUAAUUAUAGGGAUCAACUAGUUCAAUAUACAUUUUUAAUUUUCAGUCUAGGGUUGUUUUUCUUUCUUUCUUUCUUUUUUUUUUUUUUUUAAUAAUGAUACAUUUAAUUUGUGGAACUCUGAGUGGCGAUAAGAAGUAAGCAUUUCAAAUUUAAAUGUUCGUUUAGAAAUAAAUUUAUCUACUUGUGAUACGUAGGCUAUGAUGUUUUUAUGAGAAAAUAUUUUUAGAAUAAUUAUCUAUAGGUCUAAAUAAGGUGUAAGAGAUAUAAGAAUAAUAAUAUUGUUUCAAAAUUAACUACUAAGUACCGACAUUAUUAUAUGUACCUAAUAUCAAUACAGUUUUAUCACAAUAAAAAAAAUCAAUGAUAAAUUAAA